AUGCAGUUCUUGGUCCGCGCCCCGGAGCUACACGCCCUCCAGGUGACCGGCCAGGAGACGGUCUCCCAGGUCGCGGCUCAGGCAGCGCCACUGGAGGGCUUCGCCCCGGAAGAUCUAUCGUGCUCCUGGCAGGCGCGUCCCUGCAGGGCGAGGCCACCCUGGACCAGGGCGAAGUGGGAGGCCCCGACUGCCCGGGAGGCCAAGUCCGUGGUUCCCCGGCCCGCGCUGGGAAAGUGACAGGUCAGACUCUUGCUAAGGUGGCCAAGCGAGAAGACAGGCCGGGCUGAGCCGCGGGUGCGGUACCACCGGCGCUUUGUCGACGUUGUGCCCAUCUUUGGCAAGAAGAAGGGCCCCAAU
rnacentral:lncRNA from 1 species